rnacentral:rRNA from 1 species
UACGUAGGGGGCAAGCGUUGUCCGGAAUCAUUGGGCGUAAAGAGCGUGUAGGCGGCCCGGUAAGUCCGCUGUGAAAGUCGAGGGCUCAACCCUCGAAUGCCGGCGGAUACUGUCGGGCUAGAGUCCGGAAGAGGCGAGUGGAAUUCCUGGUGUAGCGGUGAAAUGCGCAGAUAUCAGGAGGAACACCAAUGGCGAAGGCAGCUCGCUGGGACGGUACUGACGCUGAGACGCGAAAGCGUGGGGAGCAAACAGG